UACGUAGGGUGCGAGCGUUAAUCGGAAUUACUGGGCGUAAAGCGUGCGCAGGCGGUUUUGUAAGUCAGAUGUGAAAUCCCCGGGCUCAACCUGGGAACUGCGUUUGAAACUGCAAGGCUAGAGUAUGGGAGAGGGAGGUAGAAUUCCACGUGUAGCAGUGAAAUGCGUAGAGAUGUGGAGGAAUACCAAUGGCGAAGGCAGCCUCCUGGCCCAAUACUGACGUUUAUGCA
rnacentral:rRNA from 1 species